GUGGGGAAUAUUGGACAAUGGGGGGAACCCUGAUCCAGCCAUGCCGCGUGUGUGAAGAAGGCCUUUUGGUUGUAAAGCACUUUAAGCGAGGAGGAGGCUACUGAGAUUAAUACUCUUGGAUAGUGGACGUUACUCGCAGAAUAAGCACCGGCUAACUCUGUGCCAGCAGCCGCGGUAAUACAGAGGGUGCAAGCGUUAAUCGGAUUUACUGGGCGUAAAGCGCGCGUAGGUGGCCAAUUAAGUCAAAUGUGAAAUCCCCGAGCUUAACUUGGGAAUUGCAUUCGAUACUGGUUGGCUAGAGUAUGGGAGAGGAUGGUAGAAUUCCAGGUGUAGCGGUGAAAUGCGUAGAGAUCUGGAGGAAUACCGAUGGCGAAGGCAGCCAUCUGGCCUAAUACUGACACUGAGGUGCGAAAGCAUGGGGAGCAAACAGGAUUAGAUACCCCUGUAGUCC
rnacentral:rRNA from 1 species